rnacentral:lncRNA from 1 species
CACCUAAUACAUCUCUGCAAAAUGGGAAAGACUGCUUCUUUAAAAUUAUGACCAAAAUAUACUUGACCUAUUAAUAACUAAACAAUAUCUUAUAUAAUUUGAAAAUGAAUAGUAGGCUAUAUAAUGAAAAAAAAAAAGCAUAAUUUUGGAGAAAUGUGGUGCUGUUAUGGCUACAGUUAUAAAGAGCGUCCCAAUAAUACUUUCUCAUUUGAAGUAUUAAAUAACUGGUUUUGAGAAAUAUGACAUAGAAUCAAAUAGGAGAUAAAGAUACUCCAACAAGUAGGGUCAACAAUAGAUAAUCACUUCUAAAGAUUUAGGAGUAUUACCAAAAUGUUCAUUCAUUCAGA